CUCCCCUCGGCGGGACUGAAUGAUCAAAACUGGUGGUGAGAAUUUUUCCGGACCGUUUCUAGGCAUCCGCUCUCAAGACGCGUUCCAGCCGACAAAAUUCUCCCCCUUCAUUAUAAAGCCAAAGGACAGGCCAACCUUGAGCCCGGCUGUGUCCCCUGCCGCGCCUUUGUCGGCGCUGAGGCCUGCGAAUGUUGGCUGGUCCUCCGAUUCCUGGAGCACAAGUCGGCCUCAGUUCUCCCCACGGCACGGUCGAACCUGGUUCUUCCAGAACCUUGGUGUUGCUGGCCGCGUGGAUACAUCUUCCCCGUUUUCUCAGCAAGGGUAAGGGGACAGCUAGCAUUCUUUCCAAGGCAUGGAAGUCCAAGUCACCCCAUCGGUUGCCCCGAACCGCCUUUCUCCGAUCGGAGCCCCCGAACUACACCAGCGUCUAAGGUAGUGAAGGGGAUGCCGAGGAUGGCGAGCUCCAAAGGCCGUGGGCAGUUCUAGGCAAGAGUUUCCGCAGGGUCGAACAACCAGGGAGCUCCCUGCCCGGGCGCCGCUAAAACCCGGAGAGGCCGCGCCCGGCACAGCCAUCCUCGCUGCAACUGGACCAGGUGCGGCUCAGCCAGCCCAGUCGAGAGCCAUGAGGACUCACCAGGAAGGCCAGAGACGCGGUGCCAGCGCCCCGCUCGCCACCAGAACCCUGGUGCACGGCUAGGAGAGCCCGGGCCGUUGCGCCAGGCCGGGCCUCGAAGGAUUCCUCCGACUCCUCUCGGCCCCGCCUACGACCCUGGCCUCUUCCUCCGGCCCGGGUCGGGUCUUCCACUCCACUGUUUGGCUCGAAGAGGACGGAGAAGCGCUCAGUGCGCUGGGGGCCGGCCACGGCCAUAAAUCUCCCUCACCAGCCCUCCUUCCGCUGCUCACUGGCGGGUGUUCCAGCCUGGCCACUCGUCCCCGGCCGCCAGGUACCCUGCUCUCCCGGUCACUACGCUGGAAAUCACUGUCAGGAGCUUCCCCGUUCGCCAAAAAGAGGGAGUCGCCUCGCCCAUUCGGUGCCACCACCAGCCAUCCCCUCGAGUGCCGGACCCCGAGGCGGCCUGGGCCUCACGGAUCACCGCCCUGGGUAGGGGCGUGCGGGGGCCAGGUGAAGGCCUGCUGAGGUUUGAAUGGGUGCGCAGCUAUCCGAGCCACCGAGGGGCGACGCCUAGGUCAGGAACAGUGGCUUCUCAGCUGGUCACCUCAACGGACCCUGCCUUAGUCCCGCGCCCUUGGAUCCCUCUUCGCUCGCCACGGGUUCCCCAGCUUGGCGACCCUUGUUUGACGCCCUACCCUCUUGGCACAAAUAACCAAACCAUUGGGAAAACAGGAAUCUGUCGCUUGCAGGUCGAAGGCUAGGCGGGGCGCUGGUUUUUCCACCCUAACAGUCGGGAGGAAGUUGUUGGGAAGAUCUGCAGUAGUAACGACUAAUGUUAUGGGCAUUGUCUGUCUUCUUUGACAGAGGGGCCCGCAGACCUCUCUGCUGGUCCCUGCUUCAGCCAAGCAAGUGGAGGUACUCAGUGGGGACUAACCACCACGAAAGGGGCCGUGGGACGCUGGGUGGGGACAGUUGCGGAGGGGUUGACAAUGCACCUUCUUGGGUGCCUCCCCAAAACCUCACAUGGUGCCAGUGACACAAUUCCGAGCGGGUGACAGAGGAGGCCGGGUGCAGGGGCUUUUGAAACUGGGCCCCGAGGUCGCUCUCACUCAAGGAGCUCCAGCUCCCUCAAAUUUCCAAAAGCACAGUUGGAGGGACCGAGGGCUUCCGGCAGCCAGGCGCGCAGGAAUUUGCGCGCUGGCCCCAGCGACGCCCGGGAGCGCAGAGGCUGCCCAGCCACAUUCCGGCGAACCGCCCCAGCGAGGCCCCAGCCCAGGAAGCGGCUCGGAAAACAAAGCGCUGUGGUCUCAGCCCAAGGUUAAAGUCCACCGCCAGCGCUUUUUCCCCCGGAAUCUGAGAGCGAUAGCGUUUCUCCAAAUAAACCGCCAAUAAAUCAGCUCCCGGGCCGAGCCAACUGAAGAGCUCUGGUGACCUUGGGGAAUACUUCCUGCCUGCCAGACCCAGCAGAGGACAGGCGUGGGGGAGGGGGCCAAUGUCAGCCCGUUCCCCCCCACCCCCCCAAGAAGAGAGGUGUGCCAAGGACAUUUGUGGGUGUUUAUUAGGGUGUGCGUGCCCAGAGGGGAUGGGCGAGGUUUGGAGCAAGGUUUGGGAAGCCCUGGUUAUUUGGGGACCUCAGUGCGCGGUUGUAAGGAGGUUUGUGAUGCUGGGGGCUGCUUCGGAAAGGCUGACCGAUGAGGGCCUCCAGAGCCACACGGUGCUAGUCCCUGGGGACCCAGCCCCGGACACUCUGGGCCCCUUCGGGGGCCCUGGUCUUUGUCUGGGUGUGACAGGGUGUGUUCGGCUUCGAGCUUGUGUAGAGUGUGACUAAUGGGAUUUAUGGAUGUCAGUGCCAGGGUGACUAAUGGAGGCUUGGCAGCACGUGCUUUUGGCGAGGGCCACUGCACCUAGGUGGGGACCCAGUGCCCCAGGAGGGGGCUGCUGGGUCUCAGAAGCCCCCUCCCCUCCCCCACUAGCUCCCAGCUUGGUCUGCGGCCCCUCCACACACGCCCUGGCAGGCCAGUGCAUGCUGCAGCGCUCCCCGACACAUCCCUCUGCGGCCUGGCCCCCAGAGGCCCUCCAGGCCUCCCAUCUCUCUGACCCGUGUGGUUGGUGCCUCCAGAUCCUGGCCUUCCCACCACCUUGGCAGAGCCCUCCAAUCCGCCUCUCUUUCAUCCUGAAAACUCCCUACACGCACAUUGUACAAGCCCCUUCGGGCUCAGCCCUGGGAUGUGGGUACCAUUCUAUCCAUUCAGUGGCUGCUACACCUUCAGGGUGGGCAGGAAAAGUGACAGACUCAUAGCUAGCAGGGCUGACCUCACCAGGCAGGGUGCUGGGGAGAACAUGCCUUCUUUUUUUGUUGAUUUGGG
rnacentral:lncRNA from 1 species